UACAGAGGUCCCAAGCGUUGUUCGGAUUCAUUGGGCGUAAAGGGUGUGUAGGUGGCGCCGUAAGUCGGGUGUGAAAUUUCGGAGCUUAACUCCGAAACUGCAUUCGAUACUGCGGUGCUUGAGGACUGGAGAGGAGACUGGAAUUCAUGGUGUAGCAGUGAAAUGCGUAGAGAUCAUGAGGAAGACCAGUGGCGAAGGCGGGUCUCUGGACAGUUCCUGACACUGAGGAGCGAAAGUGUGGGGAGCGAACAGG
rnacentral:rRNA from 1 species